rnacentral:tRNA from 1 species
UCACCCCCUAAAGCAUGCCCCGUGCUGCCUAAUCGUCCAUUCUUCCGUCGUAGUUUCCCCCUAAUUUUACCC